AUACGGAGGGUGCAAGCGUUGUUCGGAAUUACUGGGCGUAAAGGGCGCGCAGGCGGCCUGCCAAGUCAGAUGUGAAAUGCCAUGGCUUAACCAUGGACGUGCAUUUGAAACUGGUGGGCUUGAGUACCAGAGGGGAAGGUGGAAUUCCCGGUGUAGAGGUGAAAUUCGUAGAUAUCGGGAGGAAUACCGGUGGCGAAGGCGACUUUCUGGCUGGAUACUGACGCUGAGGCGCGAAAGCGUGGGGAGCAAACAGGAUUAGAUACCCUGGUAGUCCACGCUGUAAACGAUGUGAACUAGAUGUAGGGGGUGUUGAUCCCCUCUGUGUCGGAGCUAACGCAUUAAGUUCACCGCCUGGGGAGUACGGUCGCAAGAUUAAAACUCAAAGGAAUUGACGGGG
rnacentral:rRNA from 1 species